ACGGGAGUUUUCUCUCACAUUUCAGUGGAAAGUAGAUCUCACUUUUCAUUUGAAACAUCAUGAUGCUGCAUGACCACUGAGUCUGCUCGUUGCUUUUGGCAGAUAAUUUCUGUUCCUCCUGAAGUGGCAAACAGAUGAGAUGUGAAACAAAGGAGCUGGAGCAGCGCUGCCUCACCAGCACACCCAGUUACAUACAGACAGGACCAUGUUCAGGCUGAGUCCAUGGUCACCUCCACCACAAUCGGCCGUUUCUCUGUGGUUAGCACUGAAGACGACCUCACACAGAGUACACACUUAAGCAGAGCUCAGACUCAAGGCUCCAAUAUGCUUCUACGUAUCCGUUUCUCAGAGAGGUUUGCACGGAGAGCGGAGAGUCUUUUUGAUUUUUACCUCUCCGACGACUGUACGUUGAAAACAAUUCACUGCCAAACCCAUAGGUGGCGCAACGGAAGACGAGCUCAGAGAAGCCUACCCCAUUUCUCGGAAGAAGAAGUCCACGUGUGUUUGUUUACCUCUGUUGGCUGGCCUCCCACACACUGAACCAUGGCAACUAACAGAACUAAAUAAAGUGACACCCAGCGGGUCAAAAUGCUGAUGUUAUCGUUUCUUAGCGCAGCGGUUCCCCGGUCUUGUUUCCGAACUGUGUUGCUGAUUCCACAGCUUGAAUCUGCUUGAGGCUACACGCAGCUAGCUAGCUCCCCCCCAGCUAGCUCCCCCCCAGCUUCCACACAGUCAGCAGGGACUCCCGACACUAACUACUACUAUCCAGUGUUUGCUUUUAACCUGACGGUAUUAUAGAAACAGUGUCAUGAUAGAAGUGGAAUUAAAGUCGUGACGGCGGGUUUUUGCAUCGUUACCACCGCAGUUAGCAUGGUGGCUAGCCCGCUAGCCUAGCACGCUAGCGCCGUUAUGAAAGCUCGUUAUAACCGUAUGUGACCGUGCACACAUGCCGUCAGUACUCUAACGAGCCACCGUCAGCCGGACAACUCCGCUGGCUUAACACACAUGUCACAUUAAUCGUAGAAUCAUAGUUGUGUUUGGGUUUUUGUGACACAGGGAAGGAAUUAGGAAGUUUGAGGUCCGGAAAUGUGAAAUACGGAAAUGACGUCAUACGGAAAUGAUGUAGUUCGCGGACCAAUCACAGCCAAGGUCUGUCCAUUGGGAAGAGAAGAUGAGUGCGUUGGAAAGCAAAGCCGCGGGACCAGUGUGCACGAUUGGAGCGGAAAGACGGGCGCACAAUCCCAAAGUUACGGUAAGUAUUUUCAUAGACCUAACUUUUUGUCCUGUUGUAUUUUAUAGGAAACUCCCCGUCUCUUCACACCUCUGAGGCAAAUGGCUGGUGCCACGAAGCAGAACAAGGCCUGAUCCACACAUGUCAAGCUUCACCUGAUUAGUUUUUCACUGGCUAGGCCAGUUGUGUUUUUGCAAUAUUUAUGAUGUAUGUUAAUAAAGCUUUGAUUCAACAUA